CCUCAUUAUAACUCCCUUUGUGAUCCUCCCAUCGUUCCAUUAUGUUGCCCGUGGCACUGAUGCUCAUUUUACUGGCUGCCUAUUCUCCGGGUGUCGUCUCACAGGUGGUGCUGACCCAGUCAGGUCUAGUCUUGAAAAAACCUGGAGAAUCUCACAAGCUGACCUGUGAAACCAGCGGGUUCGCUCUUAGCACCGCCUGGAUGGACUGGUUUAGACAGAAACCUGGCAAAGAUUUGGAAUGGCUCGUGCAUUAUUACAGCACUGCAUCUGGGCGCAAUUUUUAUUCCCCUGCAAUACAAGCCCGAUUCACAGCCUCUAAGGACAGCUCCAACUUCUAUCUGCAAUUGAACGACCUGAAAGAGGAAGACACGGCCGUCUAUUACUGUGCACGGGACACAGUGAGAGAGAUCCCAGCAGAGCUGAGACAAAAACCUUUCACAACAUGA